rnacentral:lncRNA from 1 species
AGGGCCCUUUGUGACACGUGGGAAAUAGAAGCUUGCCCAGGUGCUGGGAGCACGCGAUGGGACAGGACAGUAUAGAGUGGUGCCGUGAGGAGCCCCCGCACAGCGCACUCGUUCCCAUCUGACCCCGAGCUUUUUUGCAGCGUUGUUCCUGCGAAAAUGCUGCCUCCUUGAGAGCUCGAGGCCAGACCACAGGACUUGGUGACCUGUGGCAUUCUGAGGCUUCUAUUCUGCAGCUGCCCUCAAGGGCAGAGCGUGGGACUUGGUGCCCUGGAACUUUCCCAGGACACCUCUCCUGCAAGUAGCUCCAGUCAGAGACAUGGAGCAGAGACCCCCGAGAGUGCCCAAGCUGGCCUGGGUGGAGGAGGAGGAAGAGGAAGAAGGCCCCAGAGCUGUCCCAGCACAGGAGACUGAGGAGGUGGUGCCGUUCCAGCCACCGCAGGAGGGUGAGUGGCAGAGCUGGGCUGCAGGGCUGGAGCCUGAAGCCAGCUUGGCCCCAUGCCAUGCCAUCCCAUGCCAUCCUACACAUCCCAUCCCAUCCCAUCCCAGCCCAUCCCAUCCCAUCCCAUCCCAUUCCAUCCCAUCCCAUCCCAUCCCAUCCCAUCCCAUCCCAUCCCCUGGGGACACGCCCAUGGAAAGGACAGAAGAGGGGCCGGGCAGACACCCCGCAGUGGCUGUGCUCCAUCCCCUGGGGCAUCCCGGGACUCUCUCUGCCUGGGGAUGGCAGGGCUGGGCCGUGUUGUCCGGCCUCUCCCGCAGCCCCUCAUCUCUGGCUGCGCUCGCUCUUUGCCAGAUGCAGCCCUGGAGCGCACACAAGAGCAGGAGUCCAGCCAUGGCCGCUUCCGCAGGACAGCGCAGGUACCUGCAGCCACCCUCACCUGGGCUGGGCCUACUGUCCCUGCUCAGCCCAGCCCCGUGUGUGCAGCACUCCAUGCAACAUCCUCGGCUUCCUGCCCUUCUCCUACAGCUCAUUUGCAGCUUUAUCAGGAGCAUUCAGCAGGAAGUGACCAGCACCAUGGGCACUGGGCUCAGAGCUCACUCAGAGCUCCUCAGUCAUGAGACCAGUGCAGCCCUGCUGGAUUUGCUCCUGGAGAAAGGUGUUGCCAGGCCAGAACAAGUAAGCAGCUGGGACCAGGCUUCAAUUCCUCCAUGAGUCACAUGGCUUCCCAAGCCACAUCUGAUGGU